UACGGAGGGUGCAAGCGUUAUCCGGAUUCACUGGGUUUAAAGGGUGCGUAGGUGGCCUAGUAAGUCAGUGGUGAAAUCUCCGGGCUUAACCCGGAAACUGCCAUUGAUACUAUUAGUCUUGAAUACCGUGGAGGUCAGCGGAAUAUGUCAUGUAGCGGUGAAAUGCUUAGAUAUGACAUAGAACACCAAUUGCGAAGGCAGCUGGCUACACGAAUAUUGACACUCAGGCACGAAAGCGUGGGGAUCAAACAGG
rnacentral:rRNA from 1 species